rnacentral:rRNA from 1 species
GACGAACGCUGGCGGCGUGCUUAACACAUGCAAGUCGAACGGAAAGGCCCUGCUUUUGUGGGGUGCUCGAGUGGCGAACGGGUGAGUAACACGUGAGUAACCUGCCCUUGACUUUGGGAUAACUUCAGGAAACUGGGGCUAAUACCGGAUAGGAGCUCCUGCUGCAUGGUGGGGGUUGGAAAGUUUCGGCGGUUGGGGAUGGACUCGCGGCUUAUCAGCUUGUUGGUGGGGUAGUGGCUUACCAAGGCUUUGACGGGUAGCCGGCCUGGGAGGGUGACCGGCCACAUUGGGACUGAGAUACGGCCCAGACUCCUACGGGAGGCAACAGUGGGGAAUAUUGCACAAUGGGCGGAAGCCUGAUGCAGCAACGCCGCGUGCGGGAUGACGGCCUUCGGGUUGUAAACCGCUUUCGCCUGUGACGAAGCGUGAGUGACGGUAAUGGGGAAAGAAGCACCGGCUAACUACGU